UGCCUGUAAUCCCAGCUACUCGGGAGGCUGAGGCAGGAGAAUCAUUUGAACUCAAAAUAUACCCUAUUUAACCCCUGACAACUGGAACAGGGGCGUCCACAGUCAGAGGAGGAGGAGGGCAGAAGUGUGCACUAGAACACCAGAUGUUUGUGGCUUAAAAUGAAAUGGAUGCAGAAUAAAUAGCCCCAAAUAAACUUCUAUCUGUGGUGUCCAGUCCCCCUCCUUGGCCAGGCAUCAAGGCUACGUGUUGUUCAUUUAACCACGAACAUCCUAAUCUCAGGACUUUGAAGAUAGUAAUCACCCAUCUCAAACCAGACACUGCCCACAGUAGCUGAGAAAGAAGCCAAAGGUGGUGAAUGAUUAGCAGAACUGCCAGGCAGCUCCAGAGCCUGAACACAGCGUACCAGGAAAGCUGUUUUGUUGGGGAAACUCAGACUGACCAAAGGAGCCAAGGAGGCCCUUCUACUCCAUAUAUCACUAAAAGUGUAGAAACAGCUCCAGGCGACGGAAAACCAGCUGCCUUCAUCAGAAACUCACAGGUGGCAUUUCUAUGGGGAAUCGACACAAGGGAAAAGGAAGCAUUUCAUCUCUAAGUUAUGGAGGCAUCACAAUUACACCAUCAUUGCACAGACGGAAGUGCAAGUGAGGGCAGGGGGUUGGGAGAGGAAGUGGCUUUGAAAAAUUGGUACGAUGGUGACAAUAAUGAUUACACAAAUUUUGGGUCAGCUAACUCCUUUUGGUGCCCUAGAUACAUGUGUCUGGUAGCCACUAACUACACGUGUCUAUUUACAUUAAAAUUAAGAUUAAUUGAAACUAAAUAAAAUUUAAAAUUCAGUUCUUCAGUCACAUGAGCCACAUUUCAAUUACUCAAAAACCGCAUGUGGCUAGUGACUGCUAUAUUCUAGGCCAGCACAGGUAGAGAACACUUUUAUCACUGCAGAAAGUUGUAUUGGACAGUGCUGUCCAAGGGAGUGUACAGAGUGAAAAGAAAAAUUGAAGGCCUUAAAUUCUCCAUUCAGAAGAUGGGUGGAAAAUGAAAACACUUUUAUGCCAGCUUUGAAGGAAUCCCUCAUUUCUUCUGUUUGCAUGGCAGAUAUGGCAAUGAUUACAUCAAGUGCUGUAUUAUAUGGCUUGUACAGUGGCAGAGCCAAUCAAAUGCUUGUUCAUGCCAGUCUCUAAGACUAAAUUAAGUGCUCUAGUGGGAGAAGGAAUGACAUCCUGAGAUAUGAGAGGGAGAAACAGGUGAGGCUAAAAACUUUGUUUUAUGUUUUUUUGAGACAAGGUCUCACUCUGACACCCAGGCUGGGGUACAGUGACACAAUCUCAGUUCACUGCAA